CUGGCGGCAUGCCUUACACAUGCAAGUCGAACGGCAGCACGGGAGCAAUCCUGGUGGCGAGUGGGCGAACGGGUGAGUAAUAUAUCGGAACGUGCCCAGUCGUGGGGGGAUAACGUAGCGAAAGCUACGCUAAUACCGCAUACGAUCUAUGGAUGAAAGCGGGGGAUCGCAAGACCUCGCGCGAUUGGAGCGGCCGAUAUCAGAUUAGGUAGUUGGUGAGGUAAAGGCUCACCAAGCCGACGAUCUGUAGCUGGUCUGAGAGGACGACCAGCCACACUGGGACUGAGACACGGCCCAGACUCCUACGGGAGGCAGCAGUGGGGAAUUUUGGACAAUGGGCGCAAGCCUGAUCCAGCAAUGCCGCGUGCAGGAUGAAGGCCUUCGGGUUGUAAACUGCUUUGUACGGAACGAAACGGUGAGCUCUAAUACAGUUUGCUAAUGACGGUACCGUAAGAAUAAGCACCGGCUAACUACGUG
rnacentral:rRNA from 1 species